rnacentral:rRNA from 1 species
AUUGAACGCUGGCGGCAGGCCUAACACAUGCAAGUCGAACGAGUGGCGGACGGGUGAGUUAUGUCUGUGAAACUGCCUGAUGGAGGGGGAUAACUACCGGAAACGGUAGCUACUACCGCAUACCAUCAGAUGUGCCCAGGUGGGUUUAGCUUGUUGGUGGGGUAACGGCUCACCAAGGCGACGAUCCCUAGCUGGUCUGAGAGGAGUACCAGCCACACUGGAACUGAGACACGGUCCAGACUCCUACGGGAGGCAGCAGUGGGGAAUAUUGGACAAUGGGCGAAAGCCUGAUGCAGCCAUGCCGCGUGUGUGAAGAAGGCCUUCGGGUUGUAAAGUACUUUAAGCGGGGAGGCGUUACCCGCAGAAGAAGCACCGGCUAACUCCGUGCCAGCAGCCGCGGUAAUAC